UCGCGUCGCCGCGUCCUCUCCUCCUCCCUGCCCUCUCGGUGCAUGCUCAGCGGGACGAGCGCGGCUCGCCGGACCUAGCCCGCAUCUCUGGCGUUGUGCGUUGUGGUUCUGGUCCGGUCGCAGGUCGCCGCCAUGGGAAAGCACGGGCUGAAUGGUACUCCCCGUCUCCCCUCUGUGCCCUCUCUCUUCCCCGACCUCUUUCUCUUCCCGCGUUCUCGAUCUUGUGCCACCACACAUCCUGGUUCUGGAUCGGGCUCAGAGAGCAUGGCUGGUGUGGUCUUCAUGCUUAGUGAGGAGGAGCAGGGGAGGGUGAGUAGGACGGGCAUGGGGAAGGAGCAGCCAGGCCGGAGCUCCGGCGUCGCUCGCGUCAUAGUGGAAUGGAGCCGACCAUCACUAUGGGCUGCAUCCCGCCAGUCAUCGUACCCCAAUCUCUGUUGCACAUCUUUGGAUUCACCAUCUUCCUCCCCUGUUUUUUUCUACCUCUUGCCCCCUGGUUCUUUAAUAUAAUUUGGAUUUGUUGUUUUAUGUUUUUACUAAACAGGACAAGUAUGGGAGCUCCAGUAAGGCCAACGUUUAGGACCAGUCCAUGUCCGAGACGACAUUUGGGAGGGUGUCCAAUUUCAUCGGAUCUUUUGCAAUGUUUCCUCAGAAGGAUGAGCCUAGAGAUAUGGAAGAUCUAAAAGCCUCUGUGAAAGAUUUUUGUUCUGCAGAAGCCAAUGAUCUGGUACACUAGGACCUUAACUUCUGGAGUGAACGACUGCGGGAAUCAAAAUACAAUAUUGAUGAGGUUCUUUCUUUACAGAAGUAGAUUACAAUAUUGAUGAAAUUAGCUCCUGGCCAUUGCAUCAUUGCAUACUUAUUGGAAUUUGAUUUGCUCAUUA